GCCGAAGUGGUGAAAUUGGUAGACACGCUAUCUUGAGGGGGUAGUGGGCGCAGCCCGUGCCGGUUCGAGUCCGGCCUUCGGCACCA
rnacentral:tRNA from 2 species